UACAGUGUGCACGCAUAACCAAGUGAAAGGCUGAUUGAUUAAAGCCAGUAUUCUUUAAUUCAAGCCUCCAUUUUCAGCUGUUUCAACCAUUUCUAAAUGUUAAAUUAGUACCAGUCAACAAACAUGGACGCUCCACCUCCCGGUAUUCUUUUCUUUUGCUGGUUUUUUUUUUAUGCUUUAGAAAUUGAAAUCCUUUUGUUAUAUUUGUUUUUUUGAAAAAAAAAAAAAAUCAAAUUCGAGCUAGCAUUAUUAGUUUGCCCUUAAUCAAAACCAAGGUUUUCAUUUAUUUAUUUAUUUAAAUCUAUCUCUUGAAGUCCUCCUUUUCACCUCGUUAAGAAACAUUUUUGAAUGCUAAACUAGCUUAAAUUUCUUUUUGUGUUACUGGAUUCUUUUUGUUGCUUUAUAGUUUAAUUUUCGAUUUUUACUGGGUUCAUUUUGUUGCUUUAGAAAUUAAAUUUUCUUUUUUUUACUGAUUCUUUUCGCUGAUUUAGAUUUUUUUAUUUUUUUAUUUUUGCCCAUGUUCAUAUUUGUUUCGUUUAUUUUGAAGAAAACCCCAUGUUUGAGCUAGCAAUUAUCUUUCUUCCCUUGAUCAAAAUCAUUUUUUUUAAUACUUAAUUUAUGCAUAAAGUUCUGUU
rnacentral:lncRNA from 1 species